ACACAAGGACAUACCAUCCUGAACAUGCCUGAUCUCAUCUGAUCUCAGAAGCUAAGCAGGGUCAGGCCUGGUUAGUACUUGGACGGGUGACACAUGCACGUGUAUGUU
rfam:Gorilla gorilla gorilla genomic chromosome, chr17, whole genome shotgun sequence